UACGGAGGGUGCAAGCGUUGUCCGGAAUCACUGGGCGUAAAGGGCGCGUAGGCGGCUCAUGAAGGCUGUGGUGAAAGUCCGGGGCUCAACCUCGGAUCGGCCGUGGCGACUCGUGGGCUGGAGCACUGUAGAGGCGGGUGGAAUUCCUGGUGUAGCGGUGGAAUGCGCAGAUAUCAGGAGGAACACCAAUGGCGAAGGCAGCACUCUGGGACGUGACUGACGCUGAGACGCGAAAGCGUGGGGAGCAAACAGG
rnacentral:rRNA from 1 species